UUACAAUCUGCCAUUAAAACUUAACUUCGUGUUUGGAAGCUGUAGGGAGGGCAAUGACGGUGGAAAUAUAGGAAGUAUGAAGAGUGACAACUAGCCCUGUUCUCCACUGAUCCCUAACAACAAGCAGCAGACCAGUCAGAGGGCACAUGAGAUGAAAACUGCAGCCUCCUAAAGAAGCACAGAGAUCUUUCUACAUUUUGAGGCCAAAACCUCAACUUUUAUCUGGGGGACAAACAAUGCAAGAAAAUGCCUGCAGCGGAGAAAGUCAACUGGAGAGUGUGUCGGAUUGCUCAACUGAGUCCCCAGACUCCUGUCCACUGUCCUGCAUGGAGCCCUUUGCGGUGCGCAGGCUUUCGUGCAGGACUGUCCAGCUUCCCCCUUUGGCCUUUAGGCAGGCUGAGCAGUAUUACUGUGAGAGGAGACCAGAGACGGAGACGGUCCAGCCUCGACCCACCAGCCUCCCCCUGAGAGUUCCUCCGCUCAUCGCCAUCACCUCUGCAGACACAAGCAGGUAACAGCUGGAGUUUCAUGAUGUUGUUUAUGCCAAAAAACAUUUUAAAUGUUUAUAUCUUGAAAAAAAAAAGUGUGCAGAAACAAUUAUGGUGAAUUUUUAGUUUUAUGGAGAAAACUUCUACUUCAUAGUAAAGCACAAUUGUUUUAU
ensembl:processed_transcript